GACGAACGCUGGCGGCGUGCUUAACACAUGCAAGUCGAACGAUGAAGAAGAGAAACGCGAACUUCGGUUCAACUUUCACCUCGGAUUAGUGGCAGACGGGUGAGUAACGCGUGAGCAACCUACCUCUUACAAAGGGAUAGCCUCGGGAAACCGUGAUUAAUACCAUAUGACACAUUCAUAAGGCAUCUUAAGAAUGUUAAAGCUACGGCGGUAAGAGAUGGGCUCGCGUCCCAUUAGCUAGUUGGUGAGGUAACGGCCCACCAAGGCGACGAUGGGUAACCGGCCUGAGAGGGUGAACGGUCACAUUGGAACUGAGACACGGUCCAAACUCCUACGGGAGGCAGCAGUGGGGAAUAUUGCACAAUGGAGGGAACUCUGAUGCAGCGACGCCGCGUGAGCGAUGAAGGAAUUCGUUUCGUAAAGCUCUGUUCUAUGGGAAGAAAAGGACUGUACCAUAGGAGAAAGCCCCGGCUAAAUACGUG
rnacentral:rRNA from 1 species